rnacentral:rRNA from 1 species
CAGUAGCCACGGUAAUACAGAGGGUGCGAGCGUUAAUCGGAUUUACUGGGCGUAAAGCGUGCGUAGGCGGCUUCUUAAGUCGGAUGUGAAAUCCCUGAGCUUAACUUAGGAAUUGCAUUCGAUACUGGGAAGCUAGAGUAUGGGAGAGGAUGGUAGAAUUCCAGGUGUAGCGGUGAAAUGCGUAGAGAUCUGGAGGAAUACCGAUGGCGAAGGCAGCCAUCUGGCCUAAUACUGACGCUGAGGUACGAAAGCAUGGGGAGCAAACAGGAUUAGAGACCCCAGUAGUCCCUGUCUCUUAUAA